UGACGAGGAACGGGAGCAUUUUGAGGAGAGAACAGAUCCAGCAGAGGACAGUAAAGCAAGCUGCUGUGACAAUGGGAAUGUGUCUGCAUCACCCUUGCCUUCACCAGCACCUCACAUCAGGACACCACAUCAGGUUUGCAGGACCUCCAUUUAUCGUCUCCCCUCCAGAGAACAUAACCCUGAACAUAUCCCAGGAUGCAUUCUUCACCUGUCAGGCCGAGGCAUAUCCAGGCAACAUGACGUACACCUGGUUCUGGGAGGAAGAUAACGUCUUCUUCAAGAAGUAAAGUUAUGAUCGGGUUUGUUACUGUAUCACAUCUCACUGCUUCUGUGCUUCACUACCAUCAUCCUCAUUCAGAGAUCAGGAUUACUUACAGCAUGAAUGCGUGCAACUCUGUUACAGGAAUUUUAAAAUGUUUUUUAAAAUUGUUUAAAAUGUAGUCAAUCAGCCAAGAAGUGUUGGAUGAAGCUUGUAGUAAAAUCUUGCUAGGAAAAAAUUCUACGGCAUCCAAAAUAUUCCAAUAAACAGCUGAUCGUAUUCAUUUGUUUUCAAACAACAUAUUUAGCUUAUGCAACCAUUAGUUUGAAAUAAAAUUUGUGGAAAUAAAAUGAAACAUUUAGAGAACUUUGAGAGACAGGACCUAGAGGACGUCUUGUAAAAGAUCUAAAGCAAACACCCAACAUGUCUUGGCUGAUCGAUGGAGUUUAUGAUGGUAGUUAGAAAAUGAUUAGUUUUUUCACAGUAAAAGGUCUAUUCAUCAUGUGAUUUAAAUUAAAAGUUAUUAUAUGGAUAUGGAGCUUUACUUACUUUUUUCAACACAUUAUUUUGAACACCACUGUACGUUCAUCCGUUCAGACAAUAAUACGCCAGUAUAAAAAACAUGGGAAUGUACAACCAUCAAACCGCUCAGGAAGGAGACGGAUUCCGGAGUACCAGAGAGGAAUGUUUUAUGGUGCGAAAUGUGCGAAUGAACCCCAGGACAAACAGCAAAAGACCUUGUGAAGAUGCUGGCUGAAACUGGUAAGACAGUGUGAUUAUCCACAGUAAAACGCGUCCUGUACCACCAUGAGCUGAAAGGUUACUCUGGGAGGAGAAAGACAUUACUUCAAGACUACAGUUUGCAACUGAAGACGGGGACAAAAAUCUUAAUUUCUGGACAUAUGUUCUGUGGUCUAAAGAAAUUAAAAUGUAACUGUUUGCCCAUAAUGAUAAAUGGUAUAUUUGGAGGAAAAUGGGUGAAACUUUGAAGCCUCAGAACACCAUCCCAACUGUGAAGUAUGGGGGUUGUAGUAUAAUG